UACGGAGGGUGCAAGCGUUAAUCGGAAUUACUGGGCGUAAAGCGUGCGUAGGCGGUUCGUUAAGUCUGCUGUGAAAGCCCUGGGCUCAACCUGGGAAUUGCAGUGGAUACUGGCAAGCUAGAGUGCGGUAGAGGAUGGUGGAAUUCCCGGUGUAGCGGUGAAAUGCGUAGAGAUCGGGAGGAACACCCGUGGCGAAGGCGGCCAUCUGGACCAGCACUGACGCUGAGGCACGAAAGCGUGGGGAGCAAACAGGG
rnacentral:rRNA from 1 species